rnacentral:tRNA from 1 species
GCCUGCAUAGCUCAGGGGCAGAGCACUAGUCUUGUAAACUAGGGGUCGUGAGUUUGAUUCUCACUGUGGGCU